rnacentral:rRNA from 1 species
CAGUCGCCGCGGGAAUACGUAGGUCCCGAUCGUUGUCCGGAUUUAUUGGGCGUAAAGGGAGCGCAGGCGGUUUAGUAAGUCUGAAGUUAAAGGCAUUGGCUCAACCAAUGUAUGCUUUGGAAACUGUUAGACUUGAGUGCAAGAGGGGAGAGUGGAAUUCCAUGUGUAGCGGUGAAAUGCGUAGAUAUAUGGAGGAACACCGGUGGCGAAAGCGGCUCUCUGGCUUGUAACUGACGCUGAGGCUCGAAAGCGUGGGGAGCAAACAGGAUUAGAUACCCCAGUAGUCCCUGUCUCUUAUACA